AUUGAACGCUGGCGGCAGGCUUAACACAUGCAAGUCGAGCGAGCGGCGGACGGGUGAGUAAUGUCUGGGAAACUGCCUGAUGGAGGGGGAUAACUACUGGAAACGGUAGCUAAUACCGCAUACCAUCAUAUGUGCCCAAAUGGGAUUGGCUAGUCGGUGGGGUAAUGGCUUACCUGGGCGACGAUCCCUAGCUGGUCUGAGAGGAUGACCAACCACACUGGAACUGAGAAACGGGCCAGACUCCUACGGUAGGCAGCAGUGGGGAAUAUUGCACAAUGGGCGAAAGCCUGAUGCAGCCAUGCCGCGUGUGUGAAGAAGGCCUUCGGGUUGUAAAGCACUUUCAGCGAGGAGGCGUUACUCGAAGAAGAAGCACCGGCUAACUCCGUGCCAGCAGCCGCGGUAAUUC
rnacentral:rRNA from 1 species